rnacentral:rRNA from 1 species
GCUUGACUGUAUCCUGGAAUUGGGUUCGGGCUUUUCUUGCGCAGUCCUAGGUGGGAGGCUAUGGAAGAUUUCUUCCGGGGAAGUUAGAGCCAUCAGUGAGAGACCACUCUGGAGAGACUAGAAUUCCUAAUGGCGUUCCUUGAAUCAGGACGCUUGACAGUUUUCAGGUGGGCAGUUUUUCUGGGGCGGAAACCUCAUAAAAGCGUAACUGAGGCGCGCAAAGGUUCCCUCAGUCUGGACUGGAAAUCAGACAAUUGAGUGUAAAGGCAGAAAGGGAGCUUGACUGCAAGACCCACAAGUCGAGCAGGAGCGAAAGCUGGCCUUAGUGAUCCGACGGUGCCGAGUGGAAGGGCCGUCGCUCAACGGAUAAAAGUUA